rnacentral:rRNA from 1 species
AACGAACGCUGGCGGCAGGCUUAACACAUGCAAGUCGAGCGCCCCGCAAGGGGAGCGGCAGACGGGUGAGUAACGCGUGGGAAUCUACCGUGCCCUACGGAAUAGCUCCGGGAAACUGGAAUUAAUACCGUAUACGCCCUACGGGGGAAAGAUUUAUCGGGGUAUGAUGAGCCCGCGUUGGAUUAGCUAGUUGGUGGGGUAAAGGCCUACCAAGGCGACGAUCCAUAGCUGGUCUGAGAGGAUGAUCAGCCACAUUGGGACUGAGACACGGCCCAACCGCCUACGGGAGGCGGCAUUGGGGAAUAUUGGACAAUGGGCGCAAGCCUGAUCCAGCCAUGCCGCGUGAGUGAUGAAGGUCUUAGGAUUGUAAAGCUCUUUCACCGGUGAAGAUAAUGACGGUAACCGGAGAAGAAGCCCCGGCUAACUUCGUGCCAGCAGCCGCCGUAACAC